UCCUACGGGGAGGCAGCAGUGGGGAAUAUUGGACAAUGGGCGAAAGCCUGAUCCAGCCAUGCCGCGUGAGUGAUGAAGGCCUUAGGGUUGUAAAGCUCUUUUACCCGGGAUGAUAAUGACGGUACCGGGAGAAUAAGCUCCGGCUAACUCCGUGCCAGCAGCCGCGGUAAUACGGAGGGAGCUAGCGUUGUUCGGAAUUACUGGGCGUAAAGCGCACGUAGGCGGCUAUUUAAGUCAGAGGUGAAAGCCCGGGGCUCAACCCCGGAAUUGCCUUUGAGACUGGAUUGCUUGAAUCCGGGAGAGGUGAGUGGAAUUCCGAGUGUAGAGGUGAAAUUCGUAGAUAUUCGGAAGAACACCAGUGGCGAAGGCGGCUCACUGGACCGGUAUUGACGCUGAGGUGCGAAAGCGUGGGGAGCAAACAGGAUUAGAUACCC
rnacentral:rRNA from 1 species